rnacentral:sRNA from 1 species
GUUUCAAUUCCUCAUAGGCAGGCUAUCGGCGCAUGGAAAAAACUGUGGCAUACUGGAUGGACGUCG